CAGUCGCCGCGGUAAUACGUAGGGUGCAAGCGUUAAUCGGAAUUACUGGGCGUAAAGCGUGCGCAGGCGGUUAUAUAAGACAGAUGUGAAAUCCCCGGGCUCAACCUGGGAACUGCAUUUGUGACUGUAUAGCUAGAGUACGGCAGAGGGGGAUGGAAUUCCGCGUGUAGCAGUGAAAUGCGUAGAUAUGCGUAGGAACACCGAUGGCGAAGGCAAUCCCCUGGGCCUGUACUGACGCUCAUGCACGAAAGCGUGGGGAGCAAACAGGAUUAGAGACCCCUGUAGUCCCUGUCUCUUAUAU
rnacentral:rRNA from 1 species